rnacentral:rRNA from 1 species
GAUUUCUGGUUCGGCGCAUUUGGCCCGCCUCGGUUUACGGGGUUGUGUGCCGAUAUGCGCCAUCCAUCCUUCGUGUGAACGGCUCUUCCCUUCAUCGGGCGGAGUCGCUGAUCACGAUCUUUUACUUUGAAAAAAUUAGAGUGUUUAAAGCAGGCUUGCGCUAUGAAUACAUUAGCAUGGAAUAAUAAUUUAGGACUUUGGUCUUAUUUUGUUGGUUUCUAGGACUAAAGUAAUGAUUGAUAGGGACAGUUGGGGGUGCUAGUAUUCAGCGGCCAGAGGUGAAAUUCUUGGAUUCGCUGAAGACUAACUAAUGCGAAAGCAUU